GCCGGCGUAGCUCAGUGGUUAGAGCAAAAUCUUCAUAAGGUUGAGGUCGGAGGUUCAAUUCCUCCCGCCGGCA
rnacentral:tRNA from 1 species